AUGGAUUCCAGAAAGUCUACAACAGUGCGGAAUUCAGAAACAGGGCAGUCUUUGCUUCCACUGCAGCAGGGCCCUCCGGAGUACUCCGAUGCUGGAUUCCCUCUCUCACACAGCUAUCCAGGCACUCCCCAGCAAUACGGAGCUGGAUCUGGCCUGUACACUCAAGGGUCAUAUCUUGGGCAGAAUGUGGUCAGUGUGCAACCUACCGUUGAAGUGUUCACUCCACUGGCCAAUCCACUGCCAGAUUACCUGGGCUACUCCAUCUUUACCAUGAUGUGCUGCUGUUUACCUCUGGGAUCGGCUGCUCUUGUUUACUCCAUCACAACUCGAGAUGCUAACAUGUUUGGACACCAGCAAAUAGCAAGCAGAAACUCUAGAAUGGCACGCAUCCUCAACCACAUCAGUGUUGCUGUUGGCCUAAGCUUCAUUUUGAUUAUUAUAAUCUACCUCAUUCUUGCUGUUGUCGUAACUACUACACGCUAUGGCAAACCGUAAUUGUAAGCAAUGUCAUGGUAGGACACCAUAAAGUUGAAGAAAGUGAGGGUUUUAGAAACAUGAGUAUAUUAUGUUUUAAAUACAAGAAGAUUUUCCAUUCUGCUUUUAAAUGUUAAUUUUGCUCAAGGUAUUUUUUAUAUGAUUGCUUUUAGACUUUACUGUAUGUAUGAGGAGCUCCAUCUAGGGAUGAUUCAGUAUGUUUAGUGUAACUAACUCCUCACCAUAUCAUUGUUUUUACAUAAUUAAAAGACAUGCUUUUUAAAGUUAAUUAUUUUUUUGUUUUAAAACAAUGGAAGCUUUAACUGUUAAAGUAAAUGCAGCAUCAAUUAAAAAAAAAAAUUCUACUUGUCUUUAAAUUAGGCUACAUAAAUCUUGGAAUAAUUAUGUCAUAACUUUUAUCAUUGUCUGUUUUUUCCAUAACACACUAACAUUUUCAUUUUCUCUGCUUUUUAGUUUAGUUUUAUAAUCUUCUUCAUCAUCAACAUCUUCUUCUUCUUCUUGAAUGAAUGAAUGAAACAUUUAUAUAGCGCUUUAUUGUGUAUUGCUGUACACCCAAGGCACUUUAUAAUCAUAUCAUGGGAUUUCUCCUCAACCACCACCAGUGUGCAGUCACCUGGUUGAUACGACGGCAGCCACAGUACAACAGCGCCAAUGCGCUCACCACACAGCUAUUCAUAGUUUCUGUCACGUGACUGGCUCGAAGACCUGGUGGGCAAAACAUCCACAGAACUGCAGCACAAGCCUGUCAAUUUUCUAUCUGUUCCAAUAAAAAAAUAUUUAAUCACA
ensembl:lncRNA